GAUGAACGCUGGCGGCGUGCCUAAUACAUGCAAGUCGAGCGAACGGACGAGAAGCUUGCUUCUCUGAUGUUAGCGGCGGACGGGUGAGUAACACGUGGAUAACCUACCUAUAAGACUGGGAUAACUUCGGGAAACCGGAGCUAAUACCGGAUAAUAUUUUGAACCGCAUGGUUCAAAAGUGAAAGACGGUCUUGCUGUCACUUAUAGAUGGAUCCGCGCUGCAUUAGCUAGUUGGUAAGGUAACGGCUUACCAAGGCAACGAUGCAUAGCCGACCUGAGAGGGUGAUCGGCCACACUGGAACUGAGACACGGUCCAGACUCCUACGGGAGGCAGCAGUAGGGAAUCUUCCGCAAUGGGCGAAGGCCUGACGGAGCAACGCCGCGUGAGUGAUGAAGGCCUUCGGAUCGUAAAACUCUGUUAUUAGGGAAGAACAUAUGUGUAAGUAACUGUGCACAUCUUGACGGUACCUAAUCAGAAAGCCACGGCUAACUACGUG
rnacentral:rRNA from 1 species